rnacentral:rRNA from 1 species
GAUGAACGCUGGCGGUGUGCCUAACACAUGCAAGUCGAGCGAUUCUCUUCGGAGAAGAGCGGCGGACGGGUGAGUAACGCGUGGGUAACCUGCCCUGUACACACGGAUAACAUACCGAAAGGUAUGCUAAUACGAGAUAAUAUACUUUUAUCGCAUGGUAGAAGUAUCAAAGCUCCGGCGGUACAGGAUGGACCCGCGUCUGAUUAGCUAGUUGGUGAGGUAACGGCUCACCAAGGCGACGAUCAGUAGCCGACCUGAGAGGGUGAUCGGCCACAUUGGAACUGAGACACGGUCCAAACUCCUACGGGAGGCAGCAGUGGGGAAUAUUGCACAAUGGGCGAAAGCCUGAUGCAGCAACGCCGCGUGAGCGAUGAAGGCCUUCGGGUCGUAAAGCUCUGUCCUCAAGGAAGAUAAUGACGGUACUUGAGGAGGAAGCCCCGGCUAACUACGUGCCAGCCGCCGCGGUAA